GGCCGACUAGCUCAGUUGGUUAGAGCGUGGUGCUAAUACUCUGAGGGUUACGCUCAAAGGGUACGCCAAGGUCGUCGGUUCGACCCCGGCGUUGGCCA